rnacentral:rRNA from 1 species
GUGGGGAAUCUUGCGCAAUGGGCGAAAGCCUGAUGCAGCAACGCCGCGUGAGGGAUGACGGCCUUCGGGUUGUACCUCUUUUAGCAGGGAAGAAGCGAAAGUGACGGUACCUGCAGAAAAAGCGCCGGCUAACUACGUGCCAGCAGCCGCGGUAAUACGUAGGGCGCAAGCGUUGUCCGGAAUUAUUGGGCGUAAAGAGCUCGUAGGCGGUUUGUCGCGUCUGCUGUGAAAACUGGAGGCUCAACCUCCAGCCUGCAGUGGGUACGGGCAGACUAGAGUGCGGUAGGGGAGAUUGGAAUUCCUGGUGUAGCGGUGGAAUGCGCAGAUAUCAGGAGGAACACCGAUGGCGAAGGCAGAUCUCUGGGCCGUAACUGACGCUGAGGAGCGAAAGCAUGGGGAGCGAACAGGAUUAGAUACCCUUGUAGUCC